rnacentral:rRNA from 1 species
UACGUAGGGCGCAAGCGUUGUCCGGAAUUAUUGGGCGUAAAGAGCUCGUAGGCGGCCAGUUGCGUCUGCUGUGAAAUCCCGGGGCUCAACCCCGGGCUUGCAGUGGAUACGGGCUGGCUGGAGGCAGGCAGGGGAGAACGGAAUUCCCGGUGUAGCGGUGAAAUGCGCAGAUAUCGGGAGGAACACCGGUGGCGAAGGCGGUUCUCUGGGCCUGUACUGACGCUGAGGAGCGAAAGCGUGGGGAGCAAACAGG